rnacentral:lncRNA from 1 species
AAUUUUGGCAUCAACAAAUUGCAAUCUGGGUCCACCGUCAACCCCAACGGCAUCCGACAGUCUGGAACAGCCUAUACACUACUAUAAAAAUAAACUCGGCAUUCCAACACGAGUGUAACUGCAUUCUACACUACUCUGGGUAUCCACCGCCCACAAACUGCGACGAUACAAACAAACUACGACUCUUAGAGCUAAAUCUGCUAGUUUCAGAAAAUGACAGUGUAAAAUCGAUUGUUUUCUCCUAAGUCAAUUCUAAGUCCAACGUGUAUAAUUUAUCUAAAUCACUAAUUUAUGCUCCAAAUUCAGAUUUUAUUUAGCAUGCAAAUCAACAAAUUCGAGCUAAUUAACAUGAUAUACAAUAACCAAAAUACAUGCUGCCAUCAACUAGGCUUAGAAGGAAAUCCGAAAUUUUCGGUAGCUUAACAUUAACCCACCUCUAGCGUGAGUCCGGCACGGUUAGGAAGUCGCCGGAAUGCCCUGCCAAGAUCAAUCACGAAACAGCAAAGACUCUCUCUAAGGAUCUAAGCACAAAAAACCCAAAGUUUGCAUCAAAACCCUCAAUUUCAGCACUUAAGCUUAGAUCCUUAUAAUUACUAUGUCAAAUUCGCCUUCAAAUCUUCCAAUCCACAAUUCAGGUGGAGAAAAGUCUCAAAACCAGUAGAGAAUGAUGGAGAAACAACCUCUGGUCUAAAUCCCAACUUCCUCCAAAGAUUGAAUCAAGAAAACCAUAAAUAUUUCAACUUCAGCUCAAAUACACCAGCAGCUCAGAAAAACAUCCAAUUGACUCAACUAACCUCAAUCAAAUGCGGUCAAAUUGGCACACGAAAUCUCCAAGAAAUCUAUAAUCCACCAAAUCAAGUUUCGCAGCAAUCGGAUCUUCCUACGUCGCACACGAGCCAAAAUGCCGAAGGUCGCUGCUGGAAUUCUGCUGGAAUUGCAGUCCUCAAGGUAGAAUUGUGAAAAUUGGAGAAUUUGGAGGGGCUAGAAUGCAAAAUAUGGGUUU